rnacentral:rRNA from 1 species
CCUACGGGAGGCAGCAGUGAGGAAUAUUGGUCAAUGGCCGGAAGGCUGAACCAGCCACGUCGCGUGGGGGACGACUGCCCUCUGGGUUGUAAAUCUCUUUUAUAGGGGAGAAAUAAAUGCUACGUGUAGCAUGAUGCCUGUCCCUUAUGAAUCAGCCUCGGCUAACUCUGUGCCAGCUGCCGGGGUAAUACGGAGGCUGAGAGCGUUAUCCGGAUUUAUUGGGGUUAAAGGGUGCGUAGGCGGUUUUUUAAGUUAGUGGUUAAACGUAGGGGCUUCACAUUGAUUUGCCAUUAAUACUGUAAGACUCGAGUACAGACGAGGUAGGCGGAAUACGUUAAGUAGCGGUGAAAUGCUUAGAGAUAAAGUAGAACUCCGAUAGCGAAGGCAGCUUACUAGACCGCGACUGACGCUGAUGCACGAGAGCGUGGGUAGCGAACAGGAUUAGAUACCCUAGUAGUC